UACGUAGGGUGCGAGCGUUGUCCGGAAUUAUUGGGCGUAAAGGGCUCGUAGGCGGUUUGUCGCGUCGGCCGUGAAAACCUGGGGCUCAACUCUGGGCGUGCGGUCGAUACGGGCAUCACUUGAGUUCGGCAGGGGAGACUGGAAUUCCUGGUGUAGCGGUGAAAUGCGCAGAUAUCAGGAGGAACACCGGUGGCGAAGGCGGCUUCCUGGUCUGUAACUGACACUGAGGCGCGAAAGCGUGGGGAGCAAACAGG
rnacentral:rRNA from 1 species